rnacentral:pre_miRNA from 1 species
GUAGUACUUUUUCUGUCCCAUAUUAAGUGACGAAAUAUUACAUGUAUCUAGGCGUUUUUUGGAUAUAGAUACAUGCAAAUUUGGACAAAUUUCAGUCACUUAAUAUGCGACGGAAGGAGUAUAUA